rnacentral:ribozyme from 1 species
CUAUGCUGUUACACUGUCUGAUUCUAAACAUUCACUUAAAGCCCUUGCUUGGCCGUCUCUGAACUCUAAAAUUGCACAGAUGCA